UCCAGAUGUUACCUCAGUGCAGCAUAAUGUGAAGUUACCAAGGCGCAAUGUAUUGAAGGUUGAUGAAUGUGCUAGAUCAGCCAGACCAUGUAACCACAGAUCAAACAAACAUCGAAGGGCAAGGCGAAGAAAAUUUACGCAACACAGACAGCUGAAAGUUCAAAGAUCUGAGCAGUAUAAAGAUCACGUUGAAAUUCCGUUGACAUCUGAUGUAACGGUAAAGGUGAAGGCAGACAAUGUACAUAGCAUCUGGAUG